GGACGCCGCUGCCGCCGCCAUCUUCCCCGAUCCCGGCCUGCCCGAACCACCCGGAACCGGAAACGCCCGCUCCGCCAUUUUGGAAGCUGCCGGCAUCCACGUUCACCACGAGGAACGCCGACUCAGCUGCAGCCACGCCGUCCCAGACCCAACCAGGAUUUCCACAUUCAAUUUUCCCUCUGUUGUAGCCGAGCAGUUGUGCUCCAUCAGGACACCAGCCUUCCUCAGCCUGCCGAACACACAAACGUGACUGCAACGCACGCCCAGCACCUGCAAUUGAGAAAAAAGUUUACAAACGCUGACGGAGCAGUCAGCUAACACAAGGGUUUGCGUUCCCUUAAGGAUGGAUGGAGAAUACAGUCCCACAGCUGUGGUACUUACAGUUGCCCAGGUUUUCACACGAGGCACGCUGCACUGCUCACCAAAUAAAUCAGGCCGUUACUCCAAGCUGCUGUUGCUGUCAAGACACCAACAUAGUUUAUUGCACUGCCAACAUCUAGAAUAUUAUGUGAACGUGACGUCUCCUUUUCACAAUACAUUCCCAAAUAAAAUAUAAUGGAUCUGUGAGACACAUAACUUGUGUUGAAUAUUUAAAUGCCUGUCCAAGAUUUUGUAUUUAAGUUGAAUUGAAGCAGUUAAUACAGUCUUGAUAAACAUUCCUUAAUGACAAACAGCCUAAUACAUCUAUGGCAAUCUCAUGAAUAAGUCACUAAACCAAAAUGUAGCACAGCACCCUGCUACUAAGCCAGCUUAAAAUGCUGCAGAGUAACUGUAAAACAAUGAGCCAAACAAAAUUACAAAAUGAAUUUAUUCCAAAAGCAGAAGGGAACAUUUACAAGUCAUCAAGAUGGUAAACAGGUGUCUCCACAAGAACUCACUGCAUUAAAAUUAAGUACGAAAGGGAGAAAAUCUAACUACUUCUGAGGCUACAGGAACUUUGCAUGUCAUCUCUAGAAAACAGGAGCCUCACAAAAACUCACUCCAAACUCAGUGAGAAAAUAAGCUGCUAGUGCCUAGAUAUUAAUCUAAAUGCAAGCUACAUUUAGGCUUGGAGAUUACAUUUUAAAUCCCCUCAAGACAACAAAUUAUAGCCACAAGUGCAAAAUAUCCUUUUUCCAUCAAUGAAAGCUUAUUACCAUUUCUAGUGCCUGUUUUCAGAGUGAUACUUUUGAUCUCAUGAAUUUGUACUUGAAAAAUGCUUUGCUAAGUUUGUUGCUUUUAGUGACAAAUAUGAUUUGCAGCUGGCAUAUAUUCAGAAGUACAAGUAAGCUCCCAUGUCUUGGAAUGUCCUAAGUUUAAUGCCGGCUGCUCCAGAGUUGAGCAAAAAUAGACUCACAAUUUGGUCAAUAACUUCAACUUCGACAUAAUUCUGGUAUUCUGCCCUUUUGAUUGCAGUGAUAAAUAUGGAAGUGUUACUGAAGACACCUGAGUCAGAUUCACAAGCAAAUACAAAUGGAACUAGGUGGCAAAACAUCACUUUCAAGCAUUCAUAUGUGGAUUCCAAAUGACUGCAGAAAAAAAAAAAAAGGGAGGAUAAGAAAAGAUCUUCAUUCUUCUAAAACCUAAACUAUUUUACAUCAACAUGCCCUGGAAGUCUUGUUAGAAAUUCUCUUCCCCUGCCCCAACUUUUUUUUUUUUUUUCUUUUCUUUUUUUACUAUCAGCUAACCCCUUUACAAUGUUGAGUGACCUGAGAAGUAAAAAUUUUAAGUGGUGAGAAUAAAAAAAAAGCAUUGUGCUCUUACAUUGUAUUUUCUGGGUGUACACCAGUAAAUAAGAACUCCAAGUUGCUAUGAAAAAAGCAAUAGCAUGGAUUUGUUAAUUUUUCCCACUUGAAUUCGACUACAUAGCUGGAAUUUUUCAAUGUUACCCAAAAUACAAUUUUAUUUAUAUAUUUUUAAAUGCAACUGUAUUGGUAAAAAGACAAAACAAAAACACAACCCUUGAGUACCAACUAACCCAGAAAUUUGCAAACCACAGAAAAGAGCCAGGUACUGCUACGGUCCAGCUCCAGUCUACAAAGCUUAAUCACUGCAUCAGUCUUUACCCAUUCCUGGAACAAUUCUAAUGAUUUAUUAUUUUGUUUUUCCUAUUCAUUUCCUGUAAUUUCAUGGCAUAAUUAUAUGCACGAAUUCAUAUCAAACAUUUAAAAUUCCUUUGCAAAACACCACUUUUGUGUUACAAUGCACGGAGAAGAGUAAGAAGUACAAAACAAAAGAACACCACAUUCUCCACUUUCCUAAGUAGAAGGACUGCUUCAUGCUACAAGCAAAAUAAAUUUCCAACCAAGUUGCAAACUUCAAAAAAC